rnacentral:rRNA from 1 species
CCUACGGGAGGCUGCAGUAGGGAAUAUUGCUCAAUGGGGGAAACCCUGAAGCAGCAACGCCGCGUGGAGGAUGAAGGUUUUCGGAUUGUAAACUCCUUUUGUUAGAGAAGAUAAUGACGGUAUCUAACGAAUAAGCACCGGCUAACUCCGUGCCAGCAGCCGCGGUAAUACGGAGGGGGCAAGCGUUACUCGGAAUCACUGGGGGUAAAGAGCGCGUAGGCGGGGUAGCAAGUCAGAUGUGAAAUCCUAGGGCUCAACCAGAGAACUGCAUUUGAAACUGUUAUUCUAGAGUGUGGGAGAGGCAGGUGGAAUUCCUGGUGUAGGGGUAAAAUCCGUAGAGAUCAAGAGGAAUACUCAUAGCGAAGGCGACUUGCUAGAACAUAACUGACGCUGAUGCGCGAAAGCGUGGGGAGCAAACAGGAUUAGAUACCCGUGUAGUC